GCUGGGUGGCGAAGCAGGAGGGGUACGCCUUGAUCGCGUAGUCGUCGACCCAGGCGGUCAUCCAGUGUUCCAGGCGUUGGCCCAGCACC
rnacentral:tRNA from 1 species